GUCUCUGGCCAUACCACCCUGAACAUGCCCGAUCUCGGAAGUUAAGCAGGGUCAGGCCUAGUUAGUACUUGGAUAGGGGGAGAAACUGAGAAUGAAGGGGGAGAGAGAAG
rnacentral:rRNA from 1 species